GACGAAACGCUGGCGGCGUGCUUAACACAUGCAAGUCGAACGGAAAGGCCCUGCUUUUGUGGGGUGCUCGAGUGGCGAACGGGUGAGUAACACGUGAGUAACCUGCCCUUGACUUUGGGAUAACUUCAGGAAACUGGGGCUAAUACCGGAUAGGAGCUCCUGCUGCAUGGUGGGGUUGGAAAGUUUCGGCGGUUGGGGAUGGACUCGCGGCUUAUCAGCUUGUUGGUGGGGUAGUGGCUUACCAAGGCUUUGACGGGUAGCCGGCCUGAGAGGGUGACCGGCCACAUUGGGACUGAGAUACGGCCCAG
rnacentral:rRNA from 1 species